CAGUCGCCGCGGUAAUACGGAGGGAGCUAGCGUUGUUCGGAAUUACUGGGCGUAAAGCGCACGUAGGCGGUUAUUCAAGUCAGAGGUGAAAGCCCGGGGCUCAACCCCGGAACUGCCUUUGAAACUAGAUGACUGAAAUCUUGGAGAGGUCAGUGGAAUUCCGAGUGUAGAGGUGAAAUUCGUAGAUAUUCGGAAGAACACCAGUGGCGAAGGCGACUGACUGGACAAGUAUUGACGCUGAGGUGCGAAAGCGUGGGGAGCAAACAGGAUUAGAUACCCCUGUAGUCCCUGUCUCUUAUAC
rnacentral:rRNA from 1 species